rnacentral:sRNA from 1 species
AGGGAUCAUUACCGAGCUUUCGCCCCCACGGGUGACUGACCAUCCCUAUGUUUUGAAAACCUUGGCGUGUUGGCAAGCCCCUUCGGACGCCCCCUCUUGUGAUGCGCGCUCGACAAAGGAUGAAAACUCUGUUUAUUAAUGUCGACCGAUCACUAUAUAUAUAAUUGUUAAAACGAAUAACAAAGGAUCUCUUGGUUCUGGCAAAGAGGAGGAAAUUGGCGAAUUGGGAUAAGUAAUGUGAAUUGGAAAAUUCAUUGAAUCAUCAAAUCUUUGAACGCACAUUGCCCCCCCCGAGCAUUCCGCAACGCUUGCCUGUUCGAGCGUCAGGACAACACUCAAGCUCUGCUUGGUAUUGGACCGCAUCAGUUCUGAUCGGUCUUAAAAUCAGUGGCGGUGCCAUCGUGCUCUAAGCGUAGUAAUACUCCUCGCUACGGGGUCUCGGUGCGUACUUGCCAGAAACACCCCAACUUUCUAAGAUUGACCUCGGAUCACGUAGGGAUACCCGCUGAACUUAAGCAUAUCGAAAAGCGGAGGAA